UAGCACCCUAAGUAAUUGCGAAUGAACAGGGAUUUGCUCAGCAUGAAAAUUGGGGCCUUUGGCUUCGAAAUGUAAUUUCAAAAUGUAUUGCUAACGGAGGGCAGAUGCAAGCCUUUUGGAAGAAAUGCAUGAUUCAGGGUGAGAUUCCUGUUUGUCAUCUGCAAUCUUCUGUGCACGGCGUAUGUUUCAAGAGUCACGCCCUUGGGAUUGGAGUGCAAAGUGUGUGGUAAAUUUCAUGUAAAGGUGAAUAUAUUUUUGAGUCCGAUAGCUAACAAGUACCAUGAGGGAAAUAUGAAAAGGACUUUGGAAAGAGAAUUAAAAAAGCCUGAAUUUGCUGAACAGAAAGUAAACAGAACUUGUUUCCUUGGUGAGAUUGUUGUGUGUUAGUGACAUAGGUCACCAUGCACGCAGUGGUUCUUGCCAUGUGUGUCAGCUCCAUUUUGCAAAUCAAUAAUUGUUCUAAUGUGUGGUAAUCUGCCUGUGGGUGUGUGACUGCUUUUCCUUGCGAUUAUUUGUAAAAUGGAAUGUUGUGUCUGGUGAUCUUGUGGCUGUUACCUUGACAUGUUUGCUGCAAGUGUGCACCUUCUGGAACAACCCACAAUCCCUGAUGCACUGGUGCUGGCAAUGCUGUUCUGCUUGACCCGUCUUGAAACACGGACCAAGGAGUCUAACAGAUGUGCGAGUUCAUGGGUGGUAAACCUUUUUGCGCAAUGAAGGUAAUUGCUGGGAUAUUUGCACCAGCAGCCAACCAAUCAAUUGUGAGAGGUUUGAGUUUGAGCUUACCUGUUAGGACCCGAAAGAUGGUGAACUAUGCCUGAGAAGGGUAAAUUCAGGGGAAACUCUGAUGGAGGCUCGUAGCGAUACUGACGUGCAAAUCGUUCGUCAUACUUGGGUAUAGGGGCGAAAGACUAAUCGAACCAUCUAGUAGCUGGUUCCCUCCGAAGUUUCCCUCAGGAUAGCUGGAGUUGCACAGUUUUAUCAGGUAAAGCGAAUGAUUAGAGGAAUUGGGGAUGUGUUGUCCUUGACCUAUUCUCAAACUUUAAAUGGGUAAGAUGCAGUGGUUUCUUUUUUGAACUUCUGGGAUAAAUGGCAAUUUCAAGUGGGCCAUUUUUGGUAAGCAGAACUGGCGAUGAGGGAUGAACCUAACGCUGGGUUAAGGUGCUUAACUGCUUGCUCAUCAGAUCCAUAAAGGGUGUUGGUUCAUUUGAACAGCAGGACGGUGGUCAUGGAAGUCGAAAUCCGCUAAGGAGUGUGUAACAACUCACCUGCCGAAUGGACUAGCCCCGAAAAUGGAUGGCGCUCAAGCUGGUGACCGAUACCCAACCAUUGUUGCAAAUAUUUGCAUCAAUGCGUAGGAGGGCAUGGGGGUU
rnacentral:rRNA from 1 species